UACGAAAGGGGGCUAGCGUUGCUCGGAAUCAUUGGGCGUAAAGCGCACGUAGGCGGUUCGUUAUGUCGGAUGUGAAGCCCUUGGCUUAACCGAGGAAGUGCAUCCGAAACUGGCGAGCUAGAGUACGAAAGAGGAUGCGGAAUUCCCGGUGUAGAGGUGAAAUGCGUAGAGAUCAGCAGGAACACCCGUGGCGAAGGCGGCCCCCUGGGCCGAUAAAAAGUCCUGUCAAGG
rnacentral:rRNA from 1 species